rnacentral:rRNA from 1 species
UUGAACGCUGGCGGCAUGCCUUACACAUGCAAGUCGAACGGCAGCACGGGGGCAACCCUGGUGGCGAGUGGCGAACGGGUGAGUAAUGCAUCGGAACGUGCCCUGCAGUGGGGGAUAACGUAGCGAAAGUUACGCUAAUACCGCAUAUUCUGUGAGCAGGAAAGCAGGGGAUCGCAAGACCUUGCGCUUUAGGAGCGGCCGAUGUCGGAUUAGCUAGUUGGCGAGGUAAAGGCUCACCAAGGCAACGAUCCGUAGCGGGUCUGAGAGGAUGAUCCGCCACACUGGGACUGAGACACGGCCCAGACUCCUACGGGAGGCAGCAGUGGGGAAUUUUGGACAAUGGGCGCAAGCCUGAUCCAGCCAUGCCGCGUGAGUGAAGAAGGCCUUCGGGUUGUAAAGCUCUUUCAGCCGGGAAGAAAUCAUAUGGGUUAAUACCCUGUGUGGAUGACGGUACCGGAAUAAGAAGCACCGGCUAACUACGU